rnacentral:tRNA from 1 species
AUUAUCUUGGCAGAUGAAUGUACUAGAUUUAGGAUCUAAUCAUAUAGUGUAAGAACUAUAGAUAAUA